rnacentral:rRNA from 1 species
UAGAGUUUGAUCAUGGCUCAGAUUGAACGCUGGCGGCAUGCCUUACACAUGCAAGUCGAACGGCAGCACGGGAGCAAUCCUGGUGGCGAGUGGCGAACGGGUGAGUAAUAUAUCGGAACGUGCCCAGUCGUGGGGGAUAACGCAGCGAAAGCUGUGCUAAUACCGCAUACGAUCUCUGGAUGAAAGCGGGGGACCUGCAAGGGCCUCGCGCGAUUGGAGCGGCCGAUAUCAGAUUAGCUAGUUGGUGGGGUAAAAGCUCACCAAGGCGACGAUCUGUAGCUGGUCUGAGAGGACGACCAGCC